UCUGUCUCCUUCCUUCCCCCCGGGAUGCCCACUGUGAAGCCGGCAGGGAGGGGCCGGGCCGCUUUCCCCGCCCACAGCCCGCAGUGGCCGCUCUGCCCGCUGCCUGGGGGCGCUGCGGCGUGGGCUGCGUGUUUACCCCGCGCGCCCGGCUUUCUCUGCCUACGCUCUAAGGAAACUCAACCUCAGAUGGGGACCGAUGGAGCCAACGCCUUUCCUGCCCCACUAAGAGUCCUCGGAGCCCACCUCAGGCCCUGUAGAAGCUUCUAGAGCCAGCUGCGGAGUGUGACCCUGGUGUGGCUCCAGGUGCAGCUUCCUGUGCCUGCGAGGACGCCAGAGGGCAGGGCACUGUGCCAGGCCUUCCGCAUUUUCAAAUGUGGGUGCAAUGGAGUUGUCAGGGGUCCCCACGGGCUUUCUCUCUGGUUAGAACACCUUCUUCCAACACCAGGCUCUGCGGACAUCCCUGACGCUUUGGUUCCCAGCCAAUGAAGGCAGGGCUGGUGUUGGCGUGACUGUUAAGCUUACAAUAUGGAGGAACCAGCCGCGGCCCAGACUGGAGAAGGGGCGGUGGGCAACAGCCGAGCAUUGCUGCGCUCACAGACCCCGAACGGAGACAAAGGCAGUCUUGCUCGACAAACAUGGCUGCCAGCCCCAAAGAGAGACCCUAGAGACAGCUGUGAAACAGAGCAGGCAGCAAGAGGACGAGAGCAAAGACUGUCCCGGCUGUGGAACCCUGCCCGGACAUCAUGGGACCAGACUCCCUACUUCUGUGGCUGUUAGUAUUUCCCGUUCUAGCGGGGAUUCUGCAGCAGAUGAGGUGAGAAGAAGACAGAAGUGUUAAAAUGAAAUUUGAAACGCGACUGAAAAUCUGCCUAUCGGCUAUGCUAAUGGCCUGUGGGUCCAACUCCCAUUCGAAGUCUGUUCCCUCCUCUAUUCAAUCAGGGUGCAUCCCGAGAUGUAAAAUUGGAAUGAAUUCCAGCAGGUGGAAAACACAGCUUUGAACAGAUCAGAUGGGCUGUGAGUCAGAUUCUUGAUUCUUUCUUUCUUAGUUGGUUCCUGAUGUUGGAGAAAACAGGAGAGAACAGAGACCACCGGGGUCAGCCCCGUUCUUAGUUCUUCUCCCCUGAAAUCUUUUUCCUCCCAGGCCCUUCCUAGGACAGUUGAAAGUGCCAUCCCCAAGGGGGGGUGGGGUAGGGAGG